AUUGAACGCUGGCGGCAUGCCUUACACAUGCAAGUCGAACGGUAGCGGGCCUUCGGGUGCCGACGAGUGGCGAACGGGUGAGUAAUGUAUCGGAACGUACCUUUCAGUGGGGGAUAACGUAGCGAAAGUUACGCUAAUACCGCAUAUUCUGUGCGCAGGAAAGCAGGGGACCUUCGGGCCUUGCGCUGAUUGAGCGGCCGAUAUCAGAUUAGCUAGUUGGUGAGGUAAAGGCUCACCAAGGCAACGAUCUGUAGCGGGUCUGAGAGGAUGAUCCGCCACACUGGAACUGAGACACGGUCCAGACUCCUACGGGAGGCAGCAGUGGGGAAUUUUGGACAAUGGGGGCAACCCUGAUCCAGCCAUGCCGCGUGAGUGAGGAAGGCCUUCGGGUUGUAAAGCUCUUUCGGCCGGGAAGAAAUCGUAUCAGCUAAUACCUGGUGCGGAUGACGGUACCGGCAUAAGAAGCACCGGCUAACUACGUGCCAGCAGCCGCAGUAACAC
rnacentral:rRNA from 1 species